rnacentral:rRNA from 1 species
CAGCAGCCACGGUAAUACGGAGGGGGCUAGCGUUGCUCGGAAUGACUGGGCGUAAAGGGCGCGUAGGCGGAUUGUUUAGUUAGGCGUGAAAUUCCUGGGCUUAACCUGGGGACUGCGCUUAAUACAGGCAGUCUAGAGUGAGGAAGAGGGUUGUGGAAUUCCCAGUGUAGAGGUGAAAUUCGUAGAUAUUGGGAAGAACACCGGUGGCGAAGGCGGCAACCUGGUCCUUGACUGACGCUGAGGCGCGAAAGCGUGGGGAGCAAACAGGAUUAGAUACCCCCGUAGUCCCUGUCUCUUAACC